rnacentral:rRNA from 1 species
AAAUAGAUACCCUGGUAGUCCACGCCGUAAACGAUGGAUACUUGGUGUUGGAGGUAUUGACCCCCUUCAGUGCCGAAGCUAACGCGUUAAGUAUCCCGCCUGGGGAGUACGGCCGCAAGGUUAAAACUCAAAGAAAUUGACGGGGGCCCGCACAAGCGGUGGAGCAUGUGGUUUAAUUCGAUGCAACGCGAAGAACCUUACCUGGGCUUGACAUGUACUGGACGGGUGGCAGAAAUGCCCCUUCCCUUCGGGGCCGGUACACAGGUGCUGCAUGGCUGUCGUCAGCUCGUGUCGUGAGAUGUUGGGUUAAGUCCCGCAACGAGCGCAACCCUUGUCUUUAGUUGCCAGCAUUUAGUUGGGUCACUCUAAAGAGACUGCCGACGUUAAGUCGGAGGAAGGUGGGGAUGACGUCAAGUCCUCAUGGCCCUUAUGUCCAGGGCUACACACGUGCUACAAUGGGUACUACAGAGGGUUGCCAAACUGCAAAGUGGAGCCAAAUCCCUUAAAGGUAUUCUAAGUUCGGUAUUGUAGUCUGCAACUCGACUACA